rnacentral:SRP_RNA from 1 species
GCCAGAUACGGUGGCCCAUACUUGUAGUCUCAACUACUCAGGAGGCUAAGGCGGGAGGAUCACCUGAGCCCAGGAGUUCUGGGCUAUAGCUUGCUGUGACAGUUGAGUGUCCACACUAAGUUUGGCAUCAAUAUGGUGACCUCCUGAAAACGGUGGACCACCAGGUUGCCCAAGGUGGUAUGAACCAGCCCAGGAUGGUAACAGGAGAGCAGAUCAAAAACUCCUGUGAUGAUUGGUAGUAGGGAUCACGCCUGUGAAUAGCCACUACACUCCAGCCUGAGUAACAGAGCAUCUCUCUCUUUU